GCAGGUGUAGUUCAAUGGUAGAAUGUCAGCUUCCCAAGCUGAACACGUGGGUUCGAUUCCCAUCACCUGCUCCA
rnacentral:tRNA from 1 species